rnacentral:rRNA from 1 species
GACGAGGGGUCCAAGCGUUGUUCGGAAUCAUUGGGCGUAAAGCGGGUGUAGGUGGCUCUGUAAGUCAGGAGUGAAAGCCCCAGGCUUAACCUGGGGAAGUGCUUUUUGAUACUGCAGAGCUUGAAUGUGGGAGAGGAUGGUGGAAUUCCUGGUGUAGUGGUGAAAUACGUAGAUAUCAGGAGGAACUCCGGUGGCGAAGGCGGCCAUCUGGCCCAACAUUGACACUGAGACCCGAAAGCGUGGGGAUCAAACAGG